rnacentral:tRNA from 1 species
CAAGACGUAGCUAUAAGCCUAAAGCAUUCAGCUUACACCUGAAAGAUAUCCAAACCCACGGAUCGUCUUGA